UGAGGAAUAUUGGACAAUGGUGGGAACACUGAUCCAGCCAUGCCGCGUGCAGGAUGACUGCCCUAUGGGUUGUAAACUGCUUUUAUACAGGAAGAAACCCCUGAUCGUGCAUCAGGAUUGACGGUACUGUAAGAAUAAGGAUCGGCUAACUCCGUGCCAGCAGCCGCGGUAAUACGGAGGAUCCAAGCGUUAUCCGGAAUCAUUGGGUUUAAAGGGUCCGCAGGCGGGCUAUUAAGUCAGAGGUGAAAGUUUGCAGCUUAACUGUAAAAUUGCCUUUGAUACUGAUAGUCUUGAAUCAUUGUGAAGUGGUUAGAAUAUGUAGUGUAGCGGUGAAAUGCAUAGAUAUUACAUAGAAUACCGAUUGCGAAGGCAGAUCACUAACAAUGUAUUGACGCUGAGGGACGAAAGCGUGGGUAGCGAACGGGAUUAGAUACCCCCGUAGUCC
rnacentral:rRNA from 1 species